UGGAAACCUGACACUCACCCUCAUUCA
rnacentral:piRNA from 1 species